CAGUCGCCGCGGGAAUACGUAGGGUGCAAGCGUUAAUCGGAAUUACUGGGCGUAAAGCGUGCGCAGGCGGUUAUGUAAGACAGAUGUGAAAUGCCCGGGCUCAACCUGGGAACUGCAUUUGUGACUGUAUGGCUAGAGUAUGUCAGAGGGGGGUAGAAUUCCACGUGUAGCAGUGAAAUGCGUAGAUAUGUGGGGGAAUACCGAUGGCGAAGGCAGCCCCCUGGGCCAAUACUGACGCUCAUGCACGAAAGCGUGGGGAGCAAACAGGAUUAGAUACCCGGGUAGUCCCUGUCUCUUAUAC
rnacentral:rRNA from 1 species